UGUUUUUAGCGAUAUAUUAAUUGUGACUCAAUAGUUUAGUUUAGUUGAUAUUUCUUUCUAUCUGCGAACAGCAAUUGCUGCCAUGUGUUGAAGAAAUCCGUCAGCAGCAGAGGGAAAUGUAGAAGACGCAAUGACUGUACAAACAACUUUCAUCUCCUUCUGCGUAUUUGUCUUUUGUUUUUUCAUAGUAUUAUUAUUUAUUUUAUUAGGCUGGUAUUUGGUUUGGCGUUUCUUCUUACAACGAUUUGGUUUCAUUCGUGAGCUUUAUGCCAGUGAGAAUUCAAAUUCACAAGAUGUCCCCAAACGAAGACGUGACAAGUCUAGAAAAGAUUAAUUUACAAUCUAAUGGAUUUAUUUCUGGUUGCAAGCUGGCUCAAAACUAUUUCGCUACUAAAACUUCCCAAUUUAUCACUGAGUCAUCAGCAAUCAGCAGGUGGACAAAUGGCUGGUACUAUCAAAAUAUGCAAUUAACGUUGACACUAUUCAAAUUCAAAUUACCAGUAUUUUUAUGCCAUUUUUUAAUUACUACUAAUAAACCGUCCCAGAUGUUUAAACAGAACCGAAAUAUCAAAUGCUUAAACCAAUACAGUUUCUGUAUGAAAGAUGUAAUGCUGGUGUGUUUGUGUAACUGUUUUAUAUAGAAAAUUAUUUAUAUCUAAAAGAGAAAUCAUGCUUUGUUUUAAUGUCUUUUUUCUUUCUUUUUUUUUUUUCCUGCAACCUAGAAAAGAAACAAAACUGUUGGUUGAUAGAUACACAAAAAUGAAUUAAGAACAUGAUUGUGAGAAAAUGGAGUGGGGAAAAUGUAUUUCAUUGAUCUCCAGAAACUCAAUCCAAGAAAACUCACUUCAAUUUUUGAAAUAUGUAUAUUUAUAUAUCUACACGUUCAUUUAAAAAAAAUAUAUAUGGUAUUUUUAUUUUUUUUAUUUUUUAUUAUUAUUUUGUUCACAAUUAAAAGGUUUUUUUUUAUAACGUAACAUUAUGGAAAGAUAUGAAACUUUCAUAUCAAUUCAAACAGUUUACGUAUUAAACAUAACGUUUUGUAUUAGUGUGCUCAUAUGAAACUUCUUUCCGCAAAACAUUACAUGACAUAGAUAUAGAGCAAUUUUGUUCACUUCCGUUACUUUGAGAUUGGUUAAUCAAUAUUACUGAUGGAAAUAUUUUCCAAGCAAUUCAACAGUAGCAAUGUUCUGUGCAGCCAGUUUUAUUUCUGUCAGCAAGUGAACAUAUACUUCAUCUGGGAUCUAACUUACAAACCUUUAUUGCUUACUGGAGCCCAAUGUUCUUAUCCGCCACAAAGCUGAAAACAUUGGUAUUAUGGAAAAUAGUGUUGUAACUCGACCACAUGUAAUACAGGUUUCAUAAGUUCAAAUCCUAUCUUCAGCAGGCUGCACAUAUUCUAAUGACAAAUACAGACUAAAGUGCACCAGAAGCACUGAUUUACUAAAAUUCAGAAAAAAACAUGAAGGUCUGAAAAAAAAUUUUUCCAUCAAUAUUGAUAUAUUUUAUUUGAGUAGUCCAUACUUACAAAUUUACAAUGGUGACAUACCUAUUUGAAUAUCUCUAAAUUAUUUUUAAGAAAUCACUCCUAUUCCCCCCCCCCCACUAAACAGCGAAUAUUUCAGAUAUGAAUUGCUUAUUACAUUUCAUGCAUUGGAAUUGGGUCUGGCUUAUUGUUUGGAGUUUUGGGUCAUUAUAACAUUCUUUGAGAGCCUUUUCAUCUAAGUGUAAAUUUUGAAAUCAAGUUCUGCCUUUUAAAAUCUUAUCAAAUAAUUGGCUGCAAUUUUUUUUUUUUUUUAACUGGAAAAAUAUAAUUAUUUAAGUGAUUUUUAUGUAACUAUUCAAAUAUUUCUCUCUAUUUUUCACUUCUCUAUCAUUCAGUUUUGUUUAUAUGUUCUCAUUUAUUUUAUGGUUCAUAUCAAGCACAAUGGUGUGUCUGUGAUCCACUUUCACUCAUUAAAAUGACCCUCAUCACAUUGAAAAAGGCAUCUAUCUCACAACUGCACAUUUCCUUUCUUCAUUUUAGUACUAAGGCAAAGUACCAAACAUAUAUCAAAAAUCAUUAUUUUAUGGGUUCGCUCACAAAUUUUUAAUCUUAAUCUGUGAUAUAUAUUUAUAUAUAAAUACAUAUAUGUAUGAAUAUUUAUAUAUAUGUGUAUAUAUGUAUAUGUAUGUGUAUAUAUAUGUAUUUAUAUAUAUAUAUAUAUGUGUGUAUAUGUGUAUGUAUAUUUAUAUAUGUAAUAGAUUAGUUCGCCCAUGAUAUAUUUGUUUUAAUACAUGAAGGAAGAGGCUGGGAGGGUAACUGUUUUUUUUAUAUUUCAUGUUUCUGUUGGCAGAAACAUGACGAAUGGACAAGUGCUUCUGAAACACAAGACAUGCUUCUCCAUUCAUUCAUAUAAAUGAUUUGUUCAUUAUAUUCUGAGGGACAUCAGUAUCAUGAAUUUCAUGUCAGAAGUGUAGUCCAAGCCACUUCACAAACAUUAAUAUUGCCUUUGAAAGGGCAUAAACCUCACCCGAUUUCAUUCCCUUUUCACCCAUACGGUUUUGUGCCUAUUCAUAAACAAAAGAUUGUUUGUUAAAAGCAAUCACGACAGAUAGGCUAAUAUUUUGAUUUAUAACUUUUUUUUUUUCCUCCUUCUUAAAUCGAACUGAUGGAUCACAAGCUGCGGGUACACUGAAUUUUUAUUCCUCAGAAACAAUGAUGACUUACGCAGUAUAUUACUGGUAUUUAUUUCAGUGCACUUACCCACUCCCACCCACAACUCUUUCCUGCUGCCUUUUUUCAGUUAUAACAUGGUUAUCCAUUCACAACUAUGAGACAUCUCAAACCUGUUGCUUUGCUGCUGAACCAACAUCUUUAUAUAUAUAUUGCAUGGAUCAGAAUAUAUGUAAUAUUUGGGUUGAAUGUUGAGCAUGGGAAACAAAGAGACAAAA
rnacentral:lncRNA from 1 species